rnacentral:rRNA from 1 species
GUGGGGAAUCUUAGACAAUGGGGGCAACCCUGAUCUAGCCAUGCCGCGUGAGUGAUGAAGGCCUUAGGGUCGUAAAGCUCUUUCGCUGGGGAAGAUAAUGACGGUACCCAGUAAAGAAACCCCGGCUAACUCCGUGCCAGCAGCCGCGGUAAUACGGAGGGGGUUAGCGUUGUUCGGAAUUACUGGGCGUAAAGCGCGCGUAGGCGGAUUGGAAAGUUGGGGGUGAAAUCCCGGGGCUCAACCCUGGAAUGGCCUUCAAAACUCCCAGUCUUGAGGUCGAGAGAGGUGAGUGGAAUUCCGAGUGUAGAGGUGAAAUUCGUAGAUAUUCGGAGGAACACCAGUGGCGAAGGCGGCUCACUGGCUCGAUACUGACGCUGAGGUGCGAAAGCGUGGGGAGCAAACAGGAUUAGAAACCCCUGUAGUCC